rnacentral:lncRNA from 1 species
UCAGUCGUGUCUGACUCUCUGCAACCCCAUGGACUGUAGCCCACCAGGCUCCUGUGUCCAUGGGGUUCUCCAGGCAUGAAUACUGGGCUGGGUUGCCGUGCCCUCCUCCAUGCCCUUCCUGACCCAGGGAUGGAACCCGCGUCCUGUGUCUCCUGCAUUGGCAGGAGGGUUCUUUACCACUGUCACCACCUGGGAAACCCAAGAAUCACCAUCCUCUCAUCACAAUUUUUCCUCCCCUGACCCCUCCUCCCACCCUGCUCUUUGACUGUAUAUCCCCUCUUGUCUUUGUUGUAUCUGGAGUUAAGCGCAAUCUCUCUGUACUACGCUACCCCAUUGCAGAAGUCCCUACAUCUACUGCAACAGUCCUGAAAACAGUCUACCUACUAUUUGAACAAGUAUCAGAAUAAAUGUUUGUAACACUCAUAAGUACUUUCAGACCUUGACUUUUCUGUAGCCUCAUCAGUGUCUCUGUGGGCGUGCUCACCACAGUGUGGAAUACUGCUGAGGGUUUCACACACAUGAUACUGACAACCGGGUAACUAUAUUCGAUUGUAAUUUCAAAGGAAAUGUUUCUAAAGCCCAGUUUAAGUGAUUUUUAUAUUAACAUUUAUAUCUAACACUCUUUGGGAGGAUCUGUGUUCCUGCUUCAUACCAAUCAAAUUGACAUUAGCAAGGAAAGCUGAGAUUCCAUGUAGAAAUUGUCCCUGAGUCCACGGGACAUGGAAGUUGGGUUAAAAGCAGGUCAUUGCCUGCCUUCUCUUUUGCGAUCACCCUCAUAAACCUCCACCCUCCACCCACUUAAAACAAUGAGAGCAAGGAACCAAGUCAUUUCAAAGCAGUGCUUCAGUCUACAUGUGUCUUGAAUUGUAAUCAGUUUUGUGUGAGGAGUAAGAAUAGCGAGGAAAAUGUCUCUUAUGUAUUCACCCAGCGCUCCUAAACAAUUGGAGGGAAAACAACAAACAUCUUCAAGCCAUCUUGAGACUUUCUCCUCCACAGGCAGCUCUUUGGAGUGUUCAGGCCUCUGGAUGAAACCCAAAGCGUUGCUUGCCAAAACUAAAGGCAGCGAGGCCUGAUGAGUGCCAGCACCGGUGCAGAAAGGGGAACUCUGCAUUUCCCAUCCUUCCAAGUAUGAACAGGCCACAACCAACACAACAGGAGAAGGAUGGGCUCCUCAGAGAGGAUGCUGCCGAGGCUUUUGGUCACGUGGGAAGUAAUACAGAAGGCUUGCAGAGCAAGAGCAAGAUGAAACCAGCCCAGGGCUCUGAGUCUCCCAUGCUACAGGGGUUUGAGUGAGAGCCUGAAGCAGGCCAGGGGCAGCCUCUCACACCAUUGUAAACAGUCAGGAGUGAGACUGGAAGGUUUUGUUAUUUGCUUUGUUUGUUUUUCCUGUCUCUAAGAUAUAGAUUUGAGGGACUUCAAAUAACAGUAGUGGGCCAAACCAGAAUCUUAGUGAUAAGCUAAUGGCAUGGGCUGCUUUAGAAGUAAGUAUAAAAGUUUAUAGUACAAAAGAUAUCCUUUAAUUUCCUUCUAAAUGAAGAUAUAAAUCUAACCUAAAAGGAGAGUGGAGGGUGAGAUGUUUUAUUGCUCCGCUCUUGAAUGCCAGAGCAGGAUUGUUAGAAGGGAAGCAGUGGAGUGACAAUUAAUACAACUUGGACCAAGAAAAAGAGAAAGAACAAGUUCUACUAGGAAAAUUCUUAAAAACUUCAACCCCAGAAGUAUUAACAUUUCAAUGAAAGGGGGGAACACUAACGUUACCUAACAGUAACUGUUAAGUUUUCAUUUCCUAUACCACUGGUCAUGAAUCAUGGGAAACUUAUAAAAGGGCAUAAACGGUUCAGAGGCCAGGCUAUACUGGAUCAGCAUCUAAGCUGCCAGUGCUGAACUGGGAAUCAAAAGCCGAGGGGCUCUGCCCAGGUGGAAACCUCACUGACGGUGAGUGGAAGUCACCUCCUUUUUCAGGAGCUUCACUUCCUCAGUGUAAAAGGAGGGGUUCCUUUGAAUAAUAAAAUAAAAUUCUAUGAUUCAUAAUGUAACUCCAUGAACUCUUUACUUGCCUGAGAUCACUAAAAGAAAUAUUUGGUGAAAAUGAAAAAGCAGAACAAAAAAGCAACAUUUUAUGUUUUCGACAAUGUUUAAGUCAAGGGAAUCUUAUUACCAUGUAACUUGAAUAGAAUUUUUAGCAAAUUAGGCAAAAUUUAGGGAAUGCUUUUCAAGAUUGGAAUCAGAUGUCUUUCCUGGAUAACAAAAACUUCCUCUAUGAGCAUUAUCCAAAUGUUCUUUCAUAUCUCCAUUUUGAAGCAAUAAAAGAAGUCUUGGAAGUUUCAGUGUCCAAUCUCUGAAUUGCAUAAAACUUGAGACACAAUGUUUCAUUCAUACAGCACUUCACUCUAUUAAGCAAAUAUUGUAUCAUUCAGUACUUCCUAUAGACACAAUUUGUCAUAAAAAUAACUUGAUAAUAUUAUUCUUAACCUAGAAAAGUCCACAAUAAUAAUACCUUAUGUAUUUGUACGAUGAGUCACACUUCAGAGCAGUCACAUAUUCAAUA